UGGUUUCUCUGCUGCUAGUUGUUUUUGGUAUGAGUAGGGUUAAAGCACGAAUUGGGAGCUCUCAGCGACAUCACCAGUCAGCAGCCAAAGACCUAACUCAGUCCCCUGAGGUCUCCCCAACAACCAUCCAGGUGACAUACCUCCCCUCCAGUCAGAAGAGUAAACGUGCCAAGCACUUCCUUGAAUUGAAGAGCUUUAAGGAUAACUAUAACACAUUGGAGAGUACUCUGUGACGGAGCUGAAGGACUCUUGCCGUAGAUUAAGCCAGUCAGUUGCAAUGUGCAAGACAGGCUGCUUGCCGGGCCGCCCUCGGAACAUCUGGCCCAGCAGGCCCAGACUGUAUCCAUCCAAGUUCCCGUUGUAUCCAGAGUUCUUAGAGCUUGUGUCUAAAGGGUAAUUCCCCAACCCUUCCUUAUGAGCAUUUUUAGAACAUUGGCUAAGACUAUUUUCCCCCAG
rnacentral:lncRNA from 1 species